rnacentral:rRNA from 1 species
AGGACGAACGCUGGCGGCGUGCUUAACACAUGCAAGUCGAGCGGACACCAUCCGGUGGCAACACUGGUGAAGUGUUAGCGGCGAACGGGUGAGUAACACGUGAGCAACCUGCCCCCAAGUCUGGGACAAGCCUGGGAAACCGGGUCUAAUACCGGAUGCCCUCUUCGGAUCGCAUGGUCUGAUGAGGAAAGAAUUUCGCUUGGGGAGGGACUCGCGGCCUAUCAGCUUGUUGGUGGGGUAAUGGCCUACCAAGGCUUCGACGGGUAGCUGGUCUGAGAGGACGACCAGCCACACUGGGACUGAGACACGGCCCAGACUCCUACGGGAGGCAGCAGUGGGGAAUCUUGCGCAAUGGGCGAAAGCCUGACGCAGCAACGCCGCGUGCGGGAUGAAGGCUCUCGGGUCGUAAACCGCUUUCAGUGGGAACGAUGAUGACGGUACCCACAGAAGAAGGACCGGCCAACUACGUGCCAGCAGCCGC